rnacentral:misc_RNA from 1 species
UUUCCGUAGGUGAACCUGCGGAAGGAUCAUUAUUGUAUAACCGAGGUGCGAGGGCUGUCGCUGACCCGAUAGGUCGUGCACGCCCGAGUGCUCCCACACACAUCCAUCUCACCCCUAUGUGCACCACCGCGGGGAUCCCCCUUCGGCGUGUUCGACGGGGGGGUUACUUUUUCACACAAGCUUUGUAUACAGUAGAGAAUGUUUUUUUCGUUUUUGCGCUUGGUCAUUCAAUACAACUUUAAACAACGGAAUCCUUGGCUCUCGCAUCGAAAAUGAACG